CAUUUCGAUCGCAGCCGGGACGGUCAUCGUGGAGGUUUUAGUCGAUUGGAGUCCGGCACUACCACGCCGCUUUUCCCCAGAAGCGGCCUGGUGUUCGUGCGGAUUUCCUCCACGUUAAUAAAAAAAAAAAAAAGAUUAAUAAUUUCAAAUGUUUGAU